GCUGAAGAGGACAGGAGUCCAAAGAGAAAGAGCAACCAGAAAAGGGGUCCAGGAGAAAGGAAACUUGAGACAUGGGCACCUACUGGGACAUAUAGAAGGGAAAGGAGGGUUCACACUCACCUGGCCCUUAGAGUUCUAGAUUCCUUAACCCAAGAUACCAGCAGUCUGUGCAGCAGAGACAGGAAGUGGCAGCAGAGAAAGGAUGGAAGUACCAACAUAAACAGAGACUCUGAGACAAAGACUGGUGUAUAUAUACAGUUUUGUUGUGCAAGUUGUGACCAGUGGCUGCAAAGCAUGGAAGCAAUUCUUUUAGAAGGUUCCCACUGUGUGUGCAUGCAAGCAUUCAGAAGAAGGCGGGGGUCUCCUUCCAGAUGCAGCUAGAGAAGCCCACUGGAGGAUGUGAGAGUGGUCAAGGCACAAGAUGGUGAGUAUGUGUGUGCAUGUGUUUAGAAGGAGGCAGAGGUGAGUGAGGUCAAGAAACGUAAGGGUAAUUAAGGUACAAGCUGAUGAAUAUGGUCAUGCAUGUUCAGAAGGAUGUAGAGGUAGCCUUUGAGAUGCUGCUUGAGAGGCCUACCAGAAGAUAUGAGAAGGGUUGAGGCGCAAGCUGGUGAGUAUGCAUGCACAUGUUCAGAAGAAGGCAGAGGUCACCUUUAAGAUGCUUCUUGAGAGGCUCACCGGAGGACGUGAGAGGAGUUGAGGUACAAGCUGGUGAGUAUUCUUGUGCACAUUCAGAAGGAGGUGGAGGUUGCCUUGGAGAUGAUGCUUGAGAGGCCCACCAAAGGAUGUAAGAGGGGUCACAAAGCUGCAUCUGCUGAAUUUCUGCCUGGAUGAAACACACACCCCCCGAGCCCAAUGUCCAGCUGAAAGAUCAAGGCAAAGAGGGCUGCAUGGAGCCUCAUUUCUAAAGCCUCCAUAAUAUAUGAGACUGCACAAAGUCUUUAGAGCUUAUAUGGCAUGGAAGUUAAGAUAGGCACCUUAACUGGCAAUUUCCGUGCUUUUUAUAGCCUGA